rnacentral:sRNA from 1 species
GCCAGGUGUGGUGAUGCACGCCUGUAAUCCCAGCAGCUUGGGAGGCUGAGGCAGGAGGAUUGUGUGUUCAAAGCCAGCCUCAGCAAAAGCAAGGCAUUAAGCAACUCAGUGAGACCCUGUGUCUA